rnacentral:rRNA from 1 species
UACGUAGGGUGCAAGCGUUGUCCGGAAUUAUUGGGCGUAAAGGGCUCGUAGGCGGUCCAUCGCGUCGGGGAGUGAAAAAGCUGGGGCUUAACCCCAGUCCCUGCUUCCGAUACGGGUGGACUAGAGGUAGGUAGGGGAGAAUGGAAUUCCCGGUGUAGCGGUGAAAUGCGCAGAUAUCGGGAGGAACACCGGUGGCGAAGGCGGUUCUCUGGGCCUUACCUGACGCUGAGGAGCGAAAGCGUGGGGAGCGAACAGG